rnacentral:misc_RNA from 1 species
UUUCCGUUGGUGAACCAGCGGAGGGAUCAUUACCGAGUCCAAACUCAUAACCCUUUGUGAACCUAUAUCUGUUGCUUCGGCGGCUCGCUCUCGGGCGAGCCCGCCGGUAAUAUCAGUAUCUCUGUUUGAACCCGACGAUACUUCUGAGUGUUCUUAGCGAACAGUUAAAACUUUUAACAACGGAUCUCUUGGCUCUAGCAUCGAUGGAGAACGCAGC